ensembl:lncRNA
ACCUUUGUUUGAACUUUGUGUAUCUAUAAAACACAGGUCAUUUCAUAUGUAGUAUAUACAUAUUUGCAGUGCCCUGUGUGAAAGAAAGCCCCUGGAGUUGCCCAGCACAUAAACUGGACAGUUUUAUCCUGAGGCUCUGAUAUACUUUGAAGCAGGAUUGCCUCCAGAUCUCCAGACUGGAACUUAUACCAUUGAUUCAUCUGAAUCCUAGGGCUUUGGACUUGGACUGGAACUAAAUCCUCAUCUCUUCUUGUUCUACCACUUGCAGACUCCAGAUCUUGAGACACUCCAGCCUCUGUAAUCAUCUGCAGUCAUGUCAUUAAUACAACUUCUGAUCCACACCUCACGCUCCUUUUAUUCAAAGAAGCUACCCAGUUGUUACCUACUUCAAGAUGAAAGGACAUGGAUGAAUCUGGAGAACAUCAUUCUCAGCAAACUGACACAAGAACAGAAAAUGAACACCGCAUAUUCUCACUCAUAGGCCUUUUAUCCAGAAAUUCCAAAAUAACUGAUAGGUUUAUCCUGGUAUGUCAGUUCAAUUAAGAAGCGUAAGGAAAUAAGCUAACCACCUUCCCACCUCACACCAAAGAAUUCACAUCCUCAAGAAUCCUCCAGAAGAUAAAUUGCUUUCUCCUAACUACACUGAAUCUCCUUGACUGCUACAUAAUUAAUGUAAAGAGCAAUGUAAGCCCAGGUCCAGAGUCAGAUUUUCAUACUUCAUUAUACCUAAACUGGUUUCUGGAAUAUACAAAUAAGACCAUAUCACCUAACCUGAAAUAUGGAGUUUUAAAAACUGCGUGUAUUUAUAAUUUGGUAUUCUUCACCAUAUUUCUGCCUCUGUUAAGUUUUUUCUUUAUGUUAUACUCUUUGAUGUUUUAAAUUUACUUGAGGAUAUGCUUCAUAAAGUACAGUUUUGAGAAUUUAUUAUUCGAACUCCUUUAUUUUUCCAGUGACAACAGCAUUCCCUCGUCACUCCCCUGUGAACAUGCACAUUAAUAUAUACUUAAAAUUGUAGAAUGGAAACCAGGUGGAAAUUGUUCAGUAAUAUUAAAUGUUGAUAACUUAAUAAGUUAUAUUGAGAGACAGUGGCCUACUCAAACUAAAAGAGUUAUUCCAUUGAUCCAUAGAGAGGUCAGGCUAUUCAUGAACCAAAAUUCUGGUGAAAAGGUUAAAUUGAUGUUUUAUAUUUGAUGUUUCAAAAGACUUUGCUUAUUUAAGAUGUAGUGGGAUUUAUAUAUGAGUUGAUAAUGCAUUGGUUUUCAAACCUUAAAUAGGUUACUUAUUGAGCAUGGUAGCUAUAAUGUGCCUUUCCUCAAUACACUGUAUAACAAAUCUGCAGUAUUUACCAUUUACUUUAAAAUCAGCAAAGCAAGCAAAAUACACUUACAAUAGUUGAUGUAGUCAGCAUUGGCCUUCCAAACUGGUAAGAGAUCAAAUAUGUCACUGUACUAGGGAUUAAAUAAAAUGAACAUAAACUCAGGCUCUACAUUAAGUAUCCAUUGCAAAGUUUCUGAAGUAACCUUGUCAACAGCAUUUUAUCUGUGAUAAUUACAAAAAGCCAUAUAUUUAUCCACAAUUAGAACAGCAAUUAAGCAGGUAAGAAAUUGAGUUUGAACUUGAAAUUUUAAUGUGGUAUAUUCUAUUGAAAAUUCAGCCCUGUCUCUACUGAAAAUACAAAAGUUAGUUGGGCUUGGUGGCACAUGCCUGUAAUCCCAGCUCCUCAGGAGGCUGAGGCAGAAGAAUCACUUGAACCCAGGAGGCAGAGGUUGGAGUGAGCUGAGAUGGAGCCACUGCACUCCAGCCUGGGUGACCAAGUGAGACUCCAUCUCAAAAGAAAAAAAAAGGAAAAUUCAGUUCUUAAUAUAUAUACUUAAAAAUGAAGCAAUAAUAUGAAGUAAGUUGUGGUUUUAAAAAUCUACUGCCUUGACAGUUUUGGUUAUUUUACGAAAUGUAGUUUUAUUCUAAGGUAAAAAGUUUGGAGAGAUUGCUUGAAAGCCUUGUAUUUACUAUGAAACAAUGUAAAAUUAACUGCCUAGUUUACUCUGCAUCAAUGAGGACAUCAGCUUUUCUAUUUUCAGAAGACAAAACAUUUUUAAAAAUAGGUAGGCUUUUAAUUUACUUAGUUUUUGAGGAGUUUGCAUUUAAAAUAAAAUAAAUACAUUCUGUGAAAAACCGUAUCUCUAUUUCAAGUUAAUCUCUUCUAUUUAAAUCGAUUAUUUAAUUAAGAGCUAUAAAUUAGAAGUACUCUACAACAUUUCUACUUAAUAUUCAUAACCAGUUACAUCAGCAUUCAGUAAGAGAUGAUUGCUAUUAAAGGGUUAACAAAGAUACAUUGAUGAAUACUGGCUUCAUGAUUUUUAUCACUACUACAUUGCAACUAUAAGGAGGAAAAAAUAGGUCAAAUAACUAUGUUUUCUCUUCUUAGUUACUUAUUUUACUUUAAUUCACAGUGAAUUUCACAUACUGUGAAAUGUCAAAAGCAACCUUGGAUUGUUUCAUGCAGUAAUGAUAUAGUUAAGAAGCUCUUUUAAAUAAAUGUGUCAAGUUUCAUUCAUCUUAGAUCCAGAUGAUAUGAGAAAACUUCACAUUCUCAAGGGGAAUGAUGGGUGGAAGAAAAAUUACUUAUUCCAGUUGCACUGAUGGUAAACACAGAUGAGGGUCAGAAUCUUGGAUUUUGACUAA